rnacentral:rRNA from 1 species
GAUGAACGCUGGCUACAGGCUUAACACAUGCAAGUCGAGGGGAAACGACGGGGAAGCUUGCUUCCCCGGGCGUCGACCGGCGCACGGGUGAGUAACGCGUAUCCAACCUGCCUCUGACUGAGGGAUAACCCGUCGAAAGUCGGCCUAAUACCUCAUGGCAUCGUCUGCGGGCAUCCAACGACGAUUAAAGAUUUCAUCGGUCAGAGAUGGGGAUGCGUCUGAUUAGCUUGUUGGCGGGGUAACGGCCCACCAAGGCGACGAUCAGUAGGGGUUCUGAGAGGAAGGUCCCCCACAUGGGAACUGAGACACGGUCCAAACUCCUACGGGAGGCAGCAGUGAGGAAUAUUGGUCAAUGGGCGAGAGCCUGAACCAGCCAAGUAGCGUGCAGGAUGACGGCCCUAUGGGUUGUAAACUGCUUUUAUGCGGGGAUAAAGUGAGGGACGUGUCCUUCAUUGCAGGUACCGCAUGAAUAAGGACCGGCUAAUUCCGUG